rnacentral:lncRNA from 1 species
CUUUGAUUUAAGUGAAUUUGGCUAACUUUUAUCAACUUUUUUGCUGAAUGAUGGGCUGAGUUUUAAAAGGGUGUCUGUCCAGGUAAUUCGACGGCUUCUUGGGUGCAAAAGCUUUAAAUGGGAAUGGUGAUUAUGUGAUUACAGUCUGCGAAAUCUUUGGGAAAAAUGGACUGCAGUAGAUCUGUGGCUACUUCAGUUGACUCUUGUUUCUCGUUCCUGUUGCGCAGCCAUGAUUUGCAUCUUGGCUAUUUCCUCUUUUUAAAUUUGGGUUCUCUUGUCUUUCUAUAUCUGCCUUUGCUAGUGUGAAAAAGGCUUAAUGACUUCGAUUUUCAUAAUUUUCCUUCAAUCUACAAUAUAUCACGCCUAUUGGUGAAAUUAGUUUAAUGAGGCUGUUCAGCUAAGGUGCUUGCACGACAUUGUAUUGUAAAAGAAGAAGUUAAUGCUGAUAAAAUAUACACUUAAAAGCCAUAUAACAGAACUCGAAGUGCUAAUUAUGUACUUUUCAAGUGACUGUAAAGCUAAGCGAUUCAUUUAAGGCUGCUUUAAAUUUUGUCACUGAUGUGAUUAUCUGGGAUGAUGUUUAUGUUCUUAAAAGUAAAAUGUAAAAUUACAAUAGCAAAACUAUAUUCUCCGUUGAUUUUAGGAGUUAAUUACUAGUGCCAGUGUCACCUGAUGCCUUUAG